GACGAACGCUGGCGGCGUGCCUAAUACAUGCAAGUCGAGCGAAGUUUUUCUGGUGCUUGCACUAGAAAAACUUAGCGGCGCACGGGUGAGUAACACGUAAAGAACCUGCCUCAUAGACUGGGACAACUAUUGGAAACGAUAGCUAAUACCGGAUAACAGUAUUUCUCGCAUGAGAGAUAUUUAAAAGUUGGUUAUGCUAACACUAUGCGAUGGCUUUGCGGUGCAUUAGCUAGUUGGUGGGGUAAAGGCCCACCAAGGCGACGAUGCAUAGCCGACCUGAGAGGGUGAUCGGCCACACUGGGAGUGAGACACGGCCCAGACGCCUAAGGGAGGCAGCAGUAGGGAAUCUUACGCAAUGGGCGAAAGCCUGACGGAGCAACGCCGCGUGAGUGAAGAAGGAGUUCGGUUCGUAAAGCUCUGUUGUUAGGGAAGAAUGGAUAUGUAGUAACAAUACAUGUAAGAGACGGUACCUAACCAGAAAGCCACGGCUAACUACGUG
rnacentral:rRNA from 1 species